rnacentral:rRNA from 1 species
GGGAAUUUUGCCCAAUGAGCGAAAGCUUGAGGCAGCAACUCCGCGUGAGGGACGAAGGCCUUCGGGUUGUAAACCUCUUUUCUCAGGGAAGAUACAAGACGGUACCUGAGGAAUAAGCUACGGCUAACUACGUGCCAGCAGCCGCGGUAAUACGUAGGUGGUAAGCGUUGUCCGGAUUUACUGGGCGUAAAGAGCGCGCAGGCGGCUGGGUCAGUCCGAUGUGAAAGCUUCCGGCUUAACUGGGAAAUAGCAUCGGAAACUGCUCAGCUUGAAGGUGGGAGAGGGUAGCGGAAUUCCCGGUGUAGUGGUGAAAUGCGUAGAUAUCGGGAGGAACACCAGUGGCGAAGGCGGCUACCUGGCCCAUUCUUGACGCUGAGGCGCGAAAGCUAGGGGAGCAAAC